UUUAACUGAAGAGUUUGAUCAUGGCUCAGAUUGAACGCUGGCGGCAGGCUUAACACAUGCAAGUCGAGCGGGGGAAGGUAGCUUGCUACUGGACCUAGCGGCGGACGGGUGAGUAAUGCUUAGGAAUCUGCCUAUUAGUGGGGGACAACAUCUCGAAAGGGAUGCUAAUACCGCAUACGUCCUACGGGAGAAAGCAGGGGAUCUUCGGACCUUGCGCUAAUAGAUGAGCCUAAGUCGGAUUAGCUAGUUGGUGGGGUAAAGGCCUACCAAGGCGACGAUCUGUAGCGGGUCUGAGAGGAUGAUCCGCCACACUGGGACUGAGACACGGCCCAGACUCCUACGGGAGGCAGCAGUGGGGAAUAUUGGACAAUGGGGGGAACCCUGAUCCAGCCAUGCCGCGUGUGUGAAGAAGGCCUUAUGGUUGUAAAGCACUUUAAGCGAGGAGGAGGCUACUUUAGUUAAUACCUAGAGAUAGUGGACGUUACUCGCAGAAUAAGCACCGGCUAACUCUGUGCCAGCAGCCGCGGUAAUACAGAGGGUGCGAGCGUUAAUCGGAUUUACUGGGCGUAAAGCGUGCGUAGGCGGCUUAUUAAGUCGGAUGUGAAAUCCCCGAGCUUAACUUGGGAAUUGCAUUCGAUACUGGUGAGCUAGAGUAUGGGAGAGGAUGGUAGAAUUCCAGGUGUAGCGGUGAAAUGCGUAGAGAUCUGGAGGAAUACCGAUGGCGAAGGCAGCCAUCUGGCCUAAUACUGACGCUGAGGUACGAAAGCAUGGGGAGCAAACAGGAUUAGAUACCCUGGUAGUCCAUGCCGUAAACGAUGUCUACUAGCCGUUGGGGCCUUUGAGGCUUUAGUGGCGCAGCUAACGCGAUAAGUAGACCGCCUGGGGAGUACGGUCGCAAGACUAAAACUCAAAUGAAUUGACGGGGGCCCGCACAAGCGGUGGAGCAUGUGGUUUAAUUCGAUGCAACGCGAAGAACCUUACCUGGCCUUGACAUACUAG
rnacentral:rRNA from 1 species